UGCUGCGUUCUGAAAACACAACCGACGUCACUCAUUGGUGUCUGAAGCCCCAUGAUGGCGGUCACCAUGUUGGAAGUGCUAACUUAGGCGAGAAAAUCUCACAGAGCUGGAGUUAAGAGCUAUAUAAAUCACUUCCUAGUCCUCACACAUCAUCCCAAUACAUCACCCCGCGCUGAAAGAGAAGCGAGAGAGAAGGAGAGGGACAAGCACAUAUUCUCAGAGCGCAUUGUGGAGAGGAAUGCCAUUGAAUUUGGCUGUUUUUUCAUGCGCCAGCCUCUUUUGUGUGCAGGCUAAGGAAGUCCAUUGUGCGGGGCAGACACCCUGAGAAAAGAGGCGAGCUUGGAGCCGUUGUCUGCCGGUGCUUCUGCGGCGCUCUGGCCCUUAAAGACCUGAAAGAAGCUCUGCCAUCGGAAGCAGCCGGCCCUGAACCCAGAGACAAUGACGACGGGCAACUUUGAAGACCCGCAACAAUUAAAAAUGCAGCUUCACUAUAUUAA